rnacentral:rRNA from 1 species
CACGUAGGGGGCGAGCGUUGUCCGGAUUUAUUGGGCGUAAAGAGCUCGUAGGCGGCUCGGUAAGUCAGGUGUGAAAACUCUAGGCUCAACCUAGAGACGCCACCUGAUACUGCUGUGGCUAGAGUCCGGUAGGGGAGCAUGGAAUUCCUGGUGUAGCGGUGAAAUGCGUAGAUAUCAGGAGGAACACCGGUGGCGAAGGCGGGACUCUGGGCCGAUACUGACGCUGAGGAGCGAAAGCGUGGGGAGCAAACAGG